rnacentral:rRNA from 1 species
GGGGAAUAUUGCACAAUGGGCGCAAGCCUGAUGCAGCCAUGCCGCGUGUGUGAAGAAGGCCUUCGGGUUGUAAAGCACUUUCAGCGGGGAGGAAGGCGAUAAGGUUAAUAACCUUGUCGAUUGACGUUACCCGCAGAAGAAACACCGGCUAACUCCGUGCCAGCAGCCGCGGUAAUACGGAGGGUGCAAGCGUUAAUCGGAAUUACUGGGCGUAAAGCGCACGCAGGCGGUUUGUUAAGUCAGAUGUGAAAUCCCCGGGCUCAACCUGGGAACUGCAUCUGAUACUGGCAAGCUUGAGUCUCGUAGAGGGGGGUAGAAUUCCAGGUGUAGCGGUGAAAUGCGUAGAGAUCUGGAGGAAUACCGAUGGCGAAGGCAGCCAUCUGGCCUAAUACUGACGCUGAGGUACGAAAGCAUGGGGAGCAAAC